rnacentral:rRNA from 1 species
UGGGGAAUAUUGCACAAUGGGCGCAAGCCUGAUGCAGCCAUGCCGCGUGUAUGAAGAAGGCCUUCGGGUUGUAAAGUACUUUCAGCGGGGAGGAAGGCGAUAAGGUUAAUAACCUUGUCGAUUGACGUUACCCGCAGAAGAAGCACCGGCUAACUCCGUGCCAGCAGCCGCGGUAAUACGGAGGGUGCAAGCGUUAAUCGGAAUUACUGGGCGUAAAGCGCACGCAGGCGGUCUGUAAAGUCGGAUGUGAAAUCCCCGGGCUCAACCUGGGAAGUGCAUUCGAAACUGGCAGGCUAGGCUCUUGUAGAGGGGGAUAGAAUUCCAGGUGUAGCGCUGAAAUGCGUUGAGAUCUGGAGGAAUACCGGUGGGGAAGGCGGCCCCCUGGACAAAGACUGACGCUCAGGUGCUAAAGCGUGGGGAGCAAACAGG